rnacentral:rRNA from 1 species
GACGAACGCUGGCGGCGUGCUUAACACAUGCAAGUCGAACGGUGAAGGGGUCUGCUUUUGUGGGCCCUGGAUGAGUGGCGAACGGGUGAGUAACACGUGAGUAACCUGCCCCCUUCUUCUGGAUAACCGCAUGAAAGUGUGGCUAAUACGGGAUAUUCUGGGUCUGUCGCAUGAUGGGUCUGGGAAAGAUUGCGCCUUUGGGUGUUUUUGGUGGGGGAUGGGCUCGCGGCCUAUCAGCUUGUUGGUGGGGUGAUGGCCUACCAAGGCGGUGACGGGUAGCCGGCCUGAGAGGGUGGACGGUCACACUGGGACUGAGACACGGCCCAGACUCCUACGGGAGGCAGCAGUGGGGAAUAUUGCACAAUGGGCGCAAGCCUGAUGCAGCGACGCCGCGUGAGGGAUGGAGGCCUUCGGGCUGUAAACCUCUUUCGCCAGUGAAGCAGGCCUGCUCCUUGUGGGUGGGUUGACGGUAGCUGGAUAAGAAGCGCCGGCUAACUACGUG